GUGCUUGCUUCAAUAGCACAUAUACUAAAAAAUUAGAAUGAUAUAGAGAUUAGCACAGCCCCUGCACAAGGAAGACAUAAAAAUUCAUAAAGCAUUUCCAUAUUUUU